UUUACCCACUUAAUAUGGGUAAUCCACCCACCCAAUGUGGGACUAAUUUUCUAGGGCGUCACAUAUGGUCCCUUAGUUUAUUUUAUAUCUAAAGCCUUUAGGGUCCCACAUGAUAAGUAUCUGCAUAUUGUGGCUGAUGUAGAGAAAAAAAUGGAAAAUGAAGUUUUGGCUUCAUCAUCUCAAUUGUAAUCUAUGGAUCAAAUGGGCUGUAAGAAUUCUAGUGUCCAACCAUAAUAGUAACACUUUCGGGAGAUGUUUUUAUUACUGGUUCUUUGCCUUUUAGAGCAAUUUUUGUGAUGGAGCUACAACAUGAAUUAAUAUUUGUGAUUUUUAGUCACAGAUCAGAGAAAACAACAAAUAAAGUUUGUUCUUUUAUUGGUAAUUUGAAUUAGGAAGAGUACAAUAUGUUAAAGGUUAAUCUUAGAUUCUUUUUGUUGUAAUAUAAUGUUGAUGGGGAGUGCAUUAAUGCCUUAAAUCUUUUUCAUUUUUCCUGAUGUUAUGUUAAUUUGUUGAAAUGAUUGCACAGUUCGAUUUGGAGAACAUGAGUUUUGUUGUUGAUAAACCAUCAAUCAUCUUGACAUACCAUAAAAAAGCAAUCAGUGGUCUUGUUUGCUGUUCCUUGGUUUUAACUUCUUUCUAAUUCUGAGUGCCACCUCAGAUGAUAUCCAUUUGCUCCUGAUCAAUUAACUUUUGACAGGGUUAUGUUGCUCAAAGAAAGUGCAAAACACAGCUAGCAUUUUGUGAGGAAUGGAGGAUGAAAAGCCGCUUUUGGUCAUCAAAAAGUUAUCAUCGUAAAGCUGAAGUUUUAAGUCUCAAUUGAGGUUACUUUCUGAUUGCAAGUUCCACUAAAACCUGAUGAAGGUAUUCAGACAGGAUAUUAAACUUACUUCCAAAGAAUAUUCCAAAGAAUAUAUCAAAUUUCCUUUUUUCAGAUGUUAUGUGAAGGAAUGUGGAACUAGAAGAUGGAGCCACAGCAGCCAGUGUCAAGCAAUAAGGAGACAUUUCUUCACAUGCUGCUUGGGGGAAUUCACUGGGAGGUUCAGGAUUUUUGUGAGCACUGAGCUCUGCAAUGCUGUCCAUUGGUUGGAAGGUAUUUUGGGAAGACCAAGAUUGCUUGCAGUAUAGAUAGCAGCCCAAAAGAGGUGGAUGAAGCAACUUGAUGGUAAAAGAAGUUGGCCCUACGAGGGAACCAGAAUAGUGGUGUGUCUAAAAUUUAAUGUUAUUAUUAAUAAAGCUGGCUUGUGUAGUGAGCGUUAGGCCCUCAAUGUGUUGAAUCUGCACCCUGUAAUGGAGGCAGGAACUUGGCUGUCUGUCAUAGAACUUGUCCAGGGGUUCCCUUUUACAAAAUAAAAUAAUGAAAAUAUAAUGCAUU